rnacentral:rRNA from 1 species
UUAUCGACAUACUGGGCGUAAGCGCACGUAGGCGGUAUGUUAAGUUGGAUGUGAAGCCCCGGGCUCAACCUGGGAAUUGCAUUCAAGACUGGCAUGCUAGAGUAUGUGAGAGGGGGGUAGAAUUCCAAGUGUAGCGGUGAAAUGCGUAGAGAUUUGGAGGAAUACCAGUGGCGAAGGCGGCCCCCUGGCACAAUACUGACGCUCAGGUGCGAAAGCGUGGGGAGCAAACAGGAUUAGAUACCCUGGUAGUCCACGCCGUAAACGAUGUCUACUAGCUGUUCGUGGUCUUGUACUGUGAGUAGCGCAGCUAACGCACUAAGUAGACCGCCUGGGGAGUACGGUCGCAAGAUUAAAACUCAAAUGAAUUGACGGGGGCCCGCACAAGCGGUGGAGCAUGUGGUUUAAUUCGACGCAACGCGAAGAACCUUACCUACUCUUGACAUCUACAGAAGAUUGCAGAGAUGCGAUUGUGCCUUCGGGAACUGUAAGACAGGUGCUGCAUGGCUGUCGUCAGCUCGUGUGUGAAAUGUUGGGUUAAGUCCCGCAACGAGCGCAACCCUUAUCCUUAGUUGCCAGCACGUGAUGGUGGGAACUCUAGGGAGACUGCCGGUGAUAAACCGGAGGAAGGUGGGGAGACGUCAAGUCAUCAUGGCCCUUACGAGUAGGGGCUACACACGUGCUACAAUGGUACGGUACAGAGGGAGGCAAGCUGGCGACAGUGAGCGGAUCUCAUAAAGCGUACGCGACUCCGGAUUGGAGUCUGCAACUCGACUCCAUGAAGUCGGAAUCGCUAGUAAUCGUGAAUCAGAAUGUCACGGUGAAUACGUUCCCGGGCCUUGUACACACCGCCCGUCACACGAUGGGAGUGGGUUGCAACAAGAAGUAGGUAGCUUAACGUACGAGAGUAGCGCGUACCAGAG